rnacentral:rRNA from 1 species
AUUGAACGCUGGCGGAAUGCUUUACACAUGCAAGUCGAGCGGCAGCGCGGGGCAACCUGGCGGCGAGCGGCGAACGGGUGAGUAACACAUCGGAACGUGCCCAGACGUGGGGGAUAGCCCGGCGAAAGCCGGAUUAAUACCGCAUGUGAUCUGAGGAUGAAAGCGGGGGACUCGCAAGGGCCUCGCGCGUUUGGAGCGGCCGAUGGCAGAUUAGGUAGUUGGUGGGGUAAAGGCUUACCAAGCCUGCGAUCUGUAGCUGGUCUGAGAGGAUGAUCAGCCACACUGGGACUGAGACACGGCCCAGACUCCUACGGGAGGCAGCAGUGGGGAAUUUUGGACAAUGGGCGCAAGCCUGAUCCAGCCAUUCCGCGUGCAGGACGAAGGCCUGGUUGUAACUGCUUUGUACGGAACGAAAGGUACGUUCUCUAAUACAGA